GCCGUCGCCUGCCCACCCCGCGGCUGCAGCGUUCCCUGGGGCCUAGCCAACCGCGGGCAGGGCUGGGCAAGGCGGGAGGAGCGCGGACCCAAGAUCGGCUACGCUGCGUCUGCUCAGGCUGCGAGUUCCCGGCUCUGGGGACUCACCUUGCGGAGCUUACCCAGGCGGACUCUCCGCAGCCCCUGAUGGGUGUGUGUGUCAGACCGUUUACUAAACACCAGGACUGUUGUAGGCGACUGUAAGAAAUAAGAAUAUUGCAUGGUUACAAUUCUUGAAUGCUUACCUUGUGUCUUGUUCCUUACUCUACAGAAAUUUUCUAAUCCCGUGGCGAACCCCCGUACUUCAACAAAAGAAAACUGAGAUCCAGGAAAGGGAAGUGAUUUUCCAAAGACACACCUGUGAAAGGUGAGGAGAACAGCCCAGUGAGGCUGAGGCCACACAAUUAACCCCAGUCUUUGCACUACAACUCUACCAGGGAUCCUGGUUUGGCUCAUUUUCUUUCUUCUGCACCAUGAUUGUUCACCUUUUCAUUACCAGCAACAUACCCAAAGACCUAGCUAUAGACUCGUUGGAAUCUGUUACUUAGCAGCUGUGUGAAUCAAGUGUUCAAUAGGAAUAAUAAGAUGUAUUCAUCUUACCUUUUCAGAACAUUAUGAAGAACAAAUGUGGUAAGACAUAUGAAAAUGCUUUGUAAAGUGUUAGAUGCUUAAUACACAGAAGACAUUGCUUCCAGAUCUGUUUCAACGUACCCCAAGAAUGGAAUAAGUGGAAUAUGCUGGUUUCAUGCACUGUGGCAAGGGGGUCUCAUCUUGGCUAGACUUGAAUAAGUGGAUUUGUUGCCUGGCCUCUGUGGAUGGCUCUUUCUCUGGGCUUUUGUGUAUUUGAUUUUUUAUUUGCUCCAGCAGCCGUGUUGAACCAUGAAAGGACCUCAGGAAUGAAACCCACACACAGCAAAGCAACAAAGUGAAAGAAGCGUGGAUUCCUAAUGCAGGAGGCACUGAACCAAUCAAUACCCACUGCCCUCCAGACCUCCACAUGAAAGAAAAAAACUGCUGUCCUGUGUAAGACACUUUUAUUUUGUGUUUCUAUUGUAUGAGGUCAAACCUAAUAACAGAUAUAUUACACUCUAACAGAUACAUUACAUUGUAUAGUAGAAUUCUCAGACAGCAACCUUAUAAGGUGAUAGAUGCAGAAACAGGCCCAAAGAGUAAAAAUAAUUUGUUCAGAGUUUUCCAGCCAAGUGGCGAAGGUGAGAUUCUUACCUGGGUUUGUCUGAAACCAAUUUUCACUAUCUUUUUCAGUUAUGAUACACUGCCUAUUACGAAUGAAUGAAUCCUUUUUUUUUUUUCCAUUUACUUCCAUUUGAUUCAUUUAUUCCAGGGAGUGACACUUUUUCUGUAAAGGACCGAUAGUAAAUAUUUUAGACUUUGUGAGCAAUA
rnacentral:lncRNA from 10 species